UGAAUCCGUGAAUUAGUGGUUCCAACUUGAAGUCGAAUCUGUCGAGAUUGGCGGUCCACUGGACACCACUCCUUCAGUUUCAUUGCUGCUGCUGGUGAAUCAGGACGGGUGUAUCAAUGUGAAUCGUUCAGGUCUCUUAGGGGUCAAGGACGUGUUUAAGAGGACACACGGGGCACGGUACAGGGAGGCUUGUUGCAGAUACUAACAAGGAAAUUAGACUCUCAGAAGUUUAAAUCCUCAUCCACCACCAAGCCUUCAGACAACCUGUGCAGGUUACACUGAUGGCUGACAAAUGCCAUGACCUACACUGCUAGCCUGUAUUCACAAACACCC